GCAUUAAUGGGGUAGUGGUAACCUGGGUCGUUGCCAUCACAGAAAAGUGUCUCAUAUCGACCCGCCGGGGGUUCGAUUCCCUCUUAAUGCA